AAUAAACGCUGGCGGCGUGCCUAAUACAUGCAAGUCGAACGGGGAAAGCUUUCGGGUGAGUACUAGUGGCGCACGGGUGAGGAACGCGUGGAUAAUCUGCCUUAGAGUGGGGGAUAACGAGUCGAAAGAUUAGCUAAUACCGCAUAAGACCACAGGAGCUGCAGGUCAAGGGGUCAAAGGUUUUUCGCUCUAAGAUGAGUCCGCGUAAGAUUAGCUAGUUGGUGAGGUAACGGCUCACCAAGGCGACGAUCUUUAACUGGUCUGAGAGGAUGAUCAGUCACACUGGAACUGAGACACGGUCCAGACUCCUACGGGAGGCAGCAGUAGGGAAUAUUGCACAAUGGAGGAAACUCUGAUGCAGCGACGCCGCGUGAGUGAUGAAGGCCUUCGGGUCGUAAAGCUCUGUCGCAGGGGAAUAACACAAUAAAGGUACCCUGUAAGAAAGGAUCGGCUAACUUCGUGCCAGCCGCCGCAGUAACAC
rnacentral:rRNA from 1 species